AGUGAACGCUGGCGGUAGGCCUAACACAUGCAAGUCGAACGGCAGCACAGUAAGAGCUUGCUCUUACGGGUGGCGAGUGGCGGACGGGUGAGGAAUACAUCGGAAUCUACUUUUUCGUGGGGGAUAACGUAGGGAAACUUACGCUAAUACCGCAUACGACCUACGGGUGAAAGUAGGGGAUCUUCGGACCUUGCGCGAUUGAAUGAGCCGAUGUCGGAUUAGCUAGUUGGCGGGGUAAAGGCCCACCAAGGCGACGAUCCGUAGCUGGUCUGAGAGGAUGAUCAGCCACACUGGAACUGAGACACGGUCCAGACUCCUACGGGAGGCAGCAGUGGGGAAUAUUGGACAAUGGGCGCAAGCCUGAUCCAGCCAUACCGCGUGGGUGAAGAAGGCCUUCGGGUUGUAAAGCCCUUUUGUUGGGAAAGAAAAGCAGCAGGUUGAUACCCCGCUGUUCUGACGGUACCCAAAGAAUAAGCACCGGCUAACUUCGUG
rnacentral:rRNA from 1 species